ACGAACGCUGGCGGCGUGCUUAACACAUGCAAGUCGAACGGAAAGGCCCUGCUUUUGUGGGGUGCUCGAGUGGCGAACGGGUGAGUAACACGUGAGUAACCUGCCCUUGACUUUGGGAUAACUUCAGGAAACUGGGGCUAAUACCGGAUAGGAGCUCCUGCUGCAUGGUGGGGGUUGGAAAGUUUCGGCGGUUGGGGAUGGACUCGCGGCUUAUCAGCUUGUUGGUGGGGUAGUGGCUUACCAAGGCUUUGACGGGUAGCCGGCCUGAGAGGGUGACCGGCCACAUUGGGACUGAGAGACGGACCAGACUCCUACGGGAGGCAGCAGUGGGGAAUAUUGCACAAUGGGCGGAAGCCUGAUGCAGCAACGCCGCGUGCGGGAUGACGGCCUUCGGGUUGUAAACCGCUUUCGCCUGUGACGAAGCGUGAGUGACGGUAAUGGGUAAAGAAGCACCGGCUAACUACGUG
rnacentral:rRNA from 1 species